UACAGAGGGUGCGAGCGUUAAUCGGAACUACUGGGCGUAAAGCGCGCGUAGGCGGCUUUGCAAGUCGGGUGUGAAAUCCCCAGGCUUAACCUGGGAACUGCAUUCGAGACUGCAUUGCUAGAGUAUGGGAGAGGGAAGUGGAAUUUCCGGUGUAGCGGUGAAAUGCGUAGAUAUCGGAAGGAACAUCAGUGGCGAAAGCGACUUCCUGGACCAAUACUGACGCUCAUGUGCGAAAGCGUGGGGAGCAAACAGG
rnacentral:rRNA from 1 species